rnacentral:rRNA from 1 species
GCAUAAUCAUUAGUUUUUUAAUUGAAAACUAGAAUGAAUGAUUGGACGAAAUAUAUACUGUUUUAAAAUUAAUAAAUAGAAUUUUUUUUUUUAAUAAAAAAAUUAAAAUAUAAUAAAAAGACGAGAAGACCCUAUAGAGUUUUAUAUUGUAAUUUUUAUAAUUUAAUAAUAUUAAUUAUAAUAUUUUAUUGGGGUGAUAAAAAAAUUUAAUUAACUUUUUUGAAAAUAAACAAUAAUUUUUGAAUAAAUAUAUUUAUCUAUUUUUAUAAAUUAAGAUUAAGUUACCUUAGGGAUAACAGCGUAAUUUUUAUUUUAAGUUCUUAUUGAAAUAAAUAGAUUGCGACCUCGAUGUUGGAUUAAAAUUUAUAUUAAAUGCAAAAGUUUAAAAUAUUAGGUCUGUUCGACCUUUAAAAUUUU